rnacentral:rRNA from 1 species
UACGGAGGGUGCAAGCGUUGCUCGGAAUUAUUGGGCGUAAAGCGCGUGUAGGCGGUUAUCUAAGUCUGAUGUGAAAUCCCGGGGCUUAACUCCGGAACUGCAUUGGAUACUGGAUAGCUAGAGGACGAGAGAGGAUGGUGGAAUUCCUGGUGUAGGGGUGAAAUCCGUAGAUAUCAGGAGGAACAUCGGUGGCGAAGGCGGCCAUCUGGCUCGUACCUGACGCUGAGACGCGAAAGCGUGGGGAG